rnacentral:tRNA from 1 species
UGUUAUAUGGCUCGGUUGGUUAAAGCGCCUGACUAGCCACACGGAGUCGUGGGUUCAAUUCCCACCAAAACAA